rnacentral:rRNA from 1 species
UACGUAGGGUGCGAGCGUUGUCCGGAAUUACUGGGCGUAAAGAGCUCGUAGGUGGUUUGUCGCGUUGUUCGAUGAAACUCAACAGCUUAACUGUGGGCGUGCGGGCGAUACGGGCAGACUGGAGUACUGCAGGGGAGACUGGAAGUUCCUGGUGUAGCGGUGGAAUGCGCAGAUAUCAGGAGGAACACCGGUGGCGAAGGCGGGUCUCUGGGCAGUAACUGACGCUGAGGCACGAAGCCAGGGGAGCAAACGGG